AAGCCAAAUAUAAAUGAAUCACCUUUAGAUUUAUUAAAUCCUGAUGGAGAUUGGUCUGAUUAUACACCAUCAAAACUGAAACAACCAGUGGCAAAGGAACUAAAGGAAAAAAAGGUAAGUUUUUUGACAAUAAUAAUAUUAUGAAUUUAAUGGAUUCAAUUGUAGGAAAAGUAACUGGGAGUACCACAAAUGCAAAA
rnacentral:lncRNA from 1 species